rnacentral:rRNA from 1 species
CCCUUAGAUGUUCUGGGCAGCACGCGCGCUACAAUGGUCUUCGCAAACGGAUGCAUUCUCGAAGGAGAAUGCCAAUCUUGGAAUCUAUGCCUUGGUCGGGACAGUUGCUUGCAAUUUUUCGACUCGAACCAGGAAUUCCUUGUAAUCGUGAUUCAUCACAUCACGAUGAAUACGUCCCUGCCCUUUGUACACACCGCCCGUCGCUCCUACCGAUCGAAGAGUUAGGUGAAUUGUUUUGAUCGAUAAGAUUUGACUAUGGUCAACUCUCGUUGUGAAAUUCUGUGAAUCUGACUGUUUAGAGGAAGGAAAAGUUGUAACA